UACCCGCUGACGAGCGGCGGACGGGUGAGUAAUGCAUAGGAAUCUGCCCGGUAGUGGGGGAUAACCUGGGGAAACCCAGGCUAAUACCGCAUACGUCCUACGGGAGAAAGGGGGCUCCGGCUCCCGCUAUUGGAUGAGCCUAUGUCGGAUUAGCUAGUUGGUGAGGUAAUGGCUCACCAAGGCAACGAUCCGUAGCUGGUCUGAGAGGAUGAUCAGCCACAUCGGGACUGAGACACGGCCCGAACUCCUACGGGAGGCAGCAGUGGGGAAUAUUGGACAAUGGGGGCAACCCUGAUCCAGCCAUGCCGCGUGUGUGAAGAAGGCCCUCGGGUUGUAAAGCACUUUCAGCGAGGAAGAACGCCUAGUGGUUAAUACCCAUUAGGAAAGACAUCACUCGCAGAAGAAGCACCGGCUAACUCCGUGCCAGCAGCCGCGGUAAUACGGAGGGUGCAAGCGUUAAUCGGAAUUACUGGGCGUAAAGCGCGCGUAGGUGGCUUGAUAAGCCGGUUGUGAAAGCCCCGGGCUCAACCUGGGAACGGCAUCCGGAACUGUCAGGCUAGAGUGCAGGAGAGGAAGGUAGAAUUCCCGGUGUAGC
rnacentral:rRNA from 1 species